GUGUUCAAGAACACAGCCUGAACUCCUGAUCCGUCACCCGUUUGCACCUUAGCACAGUAUUUAGUAUGCAAGCAACAACCUUCCGUCUCCUUUCUCCAAAGAUGCAUUUAAGCGAACUUAAAGGCAGCUGAAUGAUCUUUUAUGUUAAAUCAAUGACACGGCACUUAUUCUUCAAUAGAUUUCUUUGGUUAGUCUCUACAUAAAAUAAGUUGCUUGGUUAUAUAAGCCAGCGUCGCGUAACAUCUGUCAACUGUCCAGUUGUUCAUCAACAUGAUAAAGUAAAUCCCUGGGACAUGCAUGGAUACGUGUGCAUGUUUCUGAGUGUCAGUGCAUGCUAAAUUAGACAGAUGGUGGUUGUCAGACGAGUCUAUGCAUUAACUGGCAUUAGUUCACACUUCCUCUUUAUUUCUACCUCUACCAAUGGAGUCAACACAAGUUAGGCAAUCUAGGACCGAUAUAUGACGCAUUACCAUAACUGUCAGCAAAUGUGAUCAUAUACGGGAAUCUUUUUCAUAUUUAGUGCAUCAUUGCCAUUCAUUGGUUGAAUGUGGCAUUGAAAUCAGUGUUUUCACUAAAUGACUUAUUGCUAGUCUCUGCACGUUAAGCUUGAAUAGGAUACGUGUUUUAACAACAAAACACAUCACAUUUAAUUUCUGUCCUACUAUAGAGCCACUCAAACCCACUCGUCUUCCAUUUAAUUGUUUUAAUGCUGUCUCUUUUGUUAAAAACAUUAGCCCUGCCAACUUCCAUCCGAGUUCAUAGUUUAGUGUGUGAUAAUGUAAGUGCAUGAAUGAAGCUUAAUCUCAGAUACAGAUAUGCCACCUCAUUAAUUCAAUCAGAGCUCAUUUUUCAACACCCAAACGUCUACUUUUACUAAUGGUCGGCUGGAUCUCUGAACUGAGACUUGUUCGAGAGCGAUUCAUCAAACUGUGUUCAGGUUCAGAGGUUUAGUCGCUCUGUAUUAUUACGCCCGAGUCGGAGUUAUGCGUGACCUCAUUUUAGGGCUUUAAUUCAGAGAUGAUAUAGAUAGUGUUCUCUGACAGUCCUAACCCUUUAUUGCACAAAAUUGUCUUGGCAUAUCUCAAAAAAUGUAAGUUUUCCACCGAAAUAUGAAGCAGCACAACUGUUUUCAGCAUUGGUCAUAAUAAUAAAUGUUCAGCAUUUUCGUAACCGUUUGCUUUCAUUCGGUUCAAUGAUUAAAUGUAAAUAUUAGUAAUAAUGCUUGGAAUAAAUUCUAUUUUACAGUAUUCUCGCAUAUAAAACAGAUAUUUGAAAUUGUAAUAAUAUUUCACAAUAUUACUGUUUUUACUGAUCAAAUCUUCUUUAGAAAAGCAUUGCAAACUUUUGAAGUUGUGUGUUAAAGCGUUACAGAUAUCCAUCGCUCCGCUUUGCUCUGUGGUGAAGCCGGUGAAGGGUUGAAACCCUCUGCCUGUGUUUUCCUUCAGGAGUUUGGGAACAGGGCUGUGGUGUUUUUCUGGCCAUAGUUUGAUCUCAGAAAUAUGGCACAGCCUUAACACCAUAUGUGUGCUUGAAUCCGGGGUCAAUGGAGACGCAGGCGUCCAUCACACACUCAACUACACCGCAAUGUGCCUUAGGGAACAUAAUGCUGCCCAUCCGUGCGCUCCGGUGUGGACACAGAGGGAUUGAUCGGUCUCAUUUUGGAGAUCGAAAGGAACAUGUUGCAGCCUAAAGGUUGCUUGUAUUCGAGCAUAUUCUCACAACAAUACGAUGCUUUGAGACACUUUGAUGCAACGGCACAAUGGGAACCUGCUUUAAAGACACUCAGAAGUGAAGGAGCUUGUUUGAUUAUCAAGUGAAUUCCUGUUGGGGAAACUAAGCAGAUUCAUAAUUUCAUCAUGCUCUGAAUAUCUGUAAAUGUUAGGUUUUUUUUUUUUUGCUUGUUUGUUUUACAGUUGAAUAGCAAUAUGCAAAUGUGGGUUAAACAUUACUUUUGAGUUAUUUGCGUGUGUUGGAGACUCAAAGUGAGUGAACAACCAAUUUAAAAAAAACACAACUUUACAUUGUUUUUAGGACUGUCAUUGACACAAAAUAUAGUUUUAAUAGGUAUCUAAUAGCAGAUUGUUUUAUAUGCAUUUGGAAGUUAAUAAAAAAAUAAAUGCAUAGUAAAUGAAAUUGUAUAUAAAUGGAGAAAAUGCACUUUAUUUAUACUGGUCGGUAGAAGGAGAGUGAGUUUUAUUAUGAUUUUCAUUCAAAAUUCAGCUGUUAACACAUUGCAUAUCCAUCUCCUUAUUGCUAUUGAAAUGUGUGAAUGAACGAGUAACACCGGACGAUCUUUUGUCAUGAUGCCAGCACAGCAAUACAGCAUUGUUUCACAUGCAAAAUCCAGUUAAAGUCAUCACAGAAUGCACUGUUAAUAAGAAAAACGGGGGACAGUUGAGCUCAUCUAUCUUUAUAUGAAUUACUAAAAAAACCUAUUGAAAAUGACAUCACCUUAUAAAGAACAGCCAUGAAGUGUCAGAAUAUAGUCUCGCUUUACCUGGAUUCAAAGUGAUCUGACCUGAACACCACCUCUAUCUUUAACUAUAGUAUUAAUAUAGCGCAUUAUUAUAGCACAUGAUGCACACUUCUUGAUAACUGUACCCUUUUAAUUCAUGCUAUUUUUGUUUAUAUGAAGGUAAAACAUAAAAGUGAUUUCCUCUUUCCACUUAUGAAUCCAGUGUUUAGAUGUGAGUGAUACUAGUCUAGCAUGUUGGCAAAUAUCUCCCUUCUGCUGUAAUUUUUAUGCAAGUGUCAUACUGUACAUACUGUGUAAAAAGGAUUCCUCCAUGUAUUUUCUUCCAAUGUUUGUAUAAUAAGUUAUACUCACAGUACAGCACUUUUUUUCCAUUAAUAAUCGGACACCACCAAAAAGCUUAUUUAUUUGUCAUUUUUACUUUUUGAACCUGUAGUAAAAGCUUAAAAAACUAUUUAAGGAAGUUUUA